AGAGUUUGAUCCUGGCUCAGAACGAACGCUGGCGGCGUGGUUCAGGCAUGCAAGUCGCGCGAUUCCGCAAGGAAUAGCGGCAGAAGGGUUAGUAACACGUGGGCAAUCUGCCCUCGAGGCGGGGAUAACAUCUCGAAAGAGGUGCUAAUACCCGAUGACAUUAUCCGGUGGCAUCAUCGGAUAAUCAAAGGUGGCGCAAGCUGCCGCUUGAGGAGGAGCCCGCGGCCUAUCAGCUAGUUGGUGAGGUAACGGCCCACCAAGGCUUUUGACGGGUAGCUGGUCUAAGAGGACGAUCAGCAACAUUGGGACUGAGACACUGCCCAGACUCCUACGGGAGGCUGCAGUCGAGGAUCUUUAGCAAUGCCCCGAAAGGGUGACUAUGCGACGCCGCGUGCAGGAUGACGGCCUUCGGGUUGUAAACUGCUGUCAGGGGGGAAGAAACCUGGAAUGUUAACAGCAUUCCAGCUGACAUCACCCCCAAGGAAGCCACGGUACUUUGUGCCAGCAGCCGCGGUAAGAC
rnacentral:rRNA from 1 species